rnacentral:rRNA from 1 species
UGGUUGAGCCUGCCAGAGGCUACCGCUAUUGGAGUUCGAUUAAGCCAUGCGAGUCGCGAGAAAUUAGAUUCUCGGCGUACCGCUCAGUAACACGUGGGCAACCUGCCCUAUGCUGGAUAAUAACCUCGGGAAGCUGAGAAUAAUGAUCCAUAGUUCACUACGCCUGGAACGGUGAGUGGAUGAAAGCUCCGGCGGCAUAGGAUGGGCCUGCGGCGUAUCAGGUUGUAGGGGGUGUAACGUACCCUCUAGCCCUCUACGCGUACGGGUGUUGGGAGACAUAGCCCGGAGAUGGAUUCUGAGACACGAAUCCAGACCCUACGGGGUGCAGCAGGCGCGAAAACUUGGCAAUGCGAGAAAUCGUGACCAGGGAACUCCAAGUGCAUCGGGUAAGACCGGUGCUUUUCUUGACUCUAAAUAGGUCUUGGAAUAAGGGGUGGGUAAAGGACGGUGCCAGCCGCCGCGGUAAUACCGGCGCCUCAAGUGGUAGUCGCUUUUAUUGGGCCUAAAACGUCCGUAGCCGGUCUGAUACAUUCGUGGGUAA